GAUGAACGCUGGCGGUAGGCCUAACACAUGCAAGUCGAACGGCAGCACAGGAGAGCUUGCUCUCUGGGUGGCGAGUGGCGGACGGGUGAGGAAUACAUCGGAAUCUACCUUUUCGUGGGGGAUAACGUAGGGAAACUUACGCUAAUACCGCAUACGACCUACGGGUGAAAGUGGGGGACCGCAAGGCCUCACGCCAUUAAAUGAGCCGAUGUCCGAUUAGCUAGUUGGCGGGGUAAUGGCCCACCAAGGCGACGAUCGGUAGCUGGUCUGAGAGGAUGAUCAGCCACACUGGAACUGAGACACGGUCCAGACUCCUACGGGAGGCAGCAGUGGGGAAUAUUGGACAAUGGGCGCAAGCCUGAUCCAGCCAUACCGCGUGGGUGAAGAAGGCCUUCGGGUUGUAAAGCCCUUUUGUUGGGAAAGAAAUCCUGUCGAUUAAUACUCGGUGGGGAUGACGGUACCCAAAGAAUAAGCACCGGCUAACUUCGUGCCAGCAGCCGCCGUAA
rnacentral:rRNA from 1 species